rnacentral:rRNA from 1 species
AGAACGAUUUGAUAGCUGUCUUGCACACACAUCAUGGUAAAAUAUUCAUCAGUACAAAUAAUAUGCUGCUGACACUAAAGGACAAAAAGACCCUUUGAAGCUUUAUAGGGAUAAAACUCAGCUUUAAAUCAACAAACAAUGAAAUCCAUCUUGUUGCUUCUCCGCUUUUUAAAUUGCUAAAGCCUUACAAGAUUUACAACAUCAAGACCACUGUUUAAUUGGGGCGAUAACCUUAUCCACAGCCACCUAAGGUGAACAAAGCGAUACAAGGAUCCUAAAUACUAAUUUGACCAACUAAUAAGUGCAAAGAUACAUGUUUUGCUUAAUGGCCCAACAAGUCCUUCCCAGUACUUAAAUGCUAUCUUAAUGAGCUUUAAAUUAAUUUACCAG